UCAUUGUACUUGUUUUCUGCAUAUUUGGUAGAUGGGUUUCAUGAUUUUGAUGAUGAUAUAAAUGGCAUUUAUUUUAUAAUUUGGUUUUCCAGUUGUUGGAUGUAAAUAGAAAUCCAGUUGCUUUAUGUAUAUUUACAUUGUGUGUUAUAACUUUGCUAAUCUUAUUUAUUCCAGUAGAUUUUUUGGAGAUUCCCAAGGAUGUUUUACAUACACAAUUAUGUUAUCUGUGAAAAAGGAUACAUUCAUUUUGAAACUGUAUGCCUUUUAUUUCUUUUUCUUUAAUAACUAUGGGAUUACCAAAUAUACCAUUAAAUAUAAGUGGUGAGAGAAGAUAUUCAUGUCUUGUUUCUAAUCUUAGAGCUCUCAAGCCCUGCCGCCUCUUCUGCUUCUGCCCCAUGUAUGGGCAAGUUAAUAAGAAAGCUCAUGUGUAUUCUUCCUUGGCACCAAUUGAGAAGUUCAGGCCCUGCAACUACAGCUCACAUGCAGAAGCUUUCAUCUUUGCCUCACCUCAUCCACGAGAUCUUGACCUGAGCUGAAGUCGGAUGUUUAACUGACUGCCACCCAGGCGCCCCGAGAAGUUCCAUUCUACUCCUAGUUUGUUGAAUGUUUUUGGCAUGAAGGAGUGUUGAUUUGUGUCAUAAUGCUUUUUUCUGUGUCUUUUAAGAUUAUCACAUGGUUUUUAUGUUUUAUUCUAUUGAUAUCGUGAAUUACAUUGAUGCAGUUUUGUGUAUCACAGCAACUGCAUUCUUGCAUUCCUUGGUCAUUCCCAUGACCAAUUCCACUUGGUCAUGGUGUGUAAUAAAUUUAAUAUGUUGCCAUAUAUCAGUUUGCUGGUAUUUUGAUGGAGGAAAUUUAUGCAUCUGUAUUCAUAAGAGACAGUUGUAGUUUU